rnacentral:rRNA from 1 species
UACGGGAGGGGGCUAGCGUUGUUCGGAAUUACUGGGCGUAAAGCGCACGUAGGCGGCUUUGUAAGUUAAGAGGUGAAAGCCCGGAGCUCAACUCCGGAACUGCCUUUAAGACUGCAUCGCUUGAAUCAUGGAGAGGUCAGUGGAAUUCCGAGUGUAGAGGUGAAAUUCGUAGAUAUUCGGAAGAACACCAGUGGCGAAGGCGACUGACUGGACAUGUAUUGACGCUGAGGUGCGAAAGCGUGGGGAGCAAACAGG